GUGGGGAAUUUUGCGCAAUGGGGGAAACCCUGACGCAGCAACGCCGCGUGAGUGAUGAAGGCCUUCGGGUCGUAAAGCUCUGUCAGAGGGAAAGAAGUGCGAGAGGGUUAAUACCCCUUUUGCUUGACGGUACCCUCAAAGGAAGCACCGGCUAACUCCGUGCCAGCAGCCGCGGUAAUACGGAGGGUGCGAGCGUUGUUCGGAAUUAUUGGGCGUAAAGCGCGUGUAGGCGGUCUUUUAUGUCUGAUGUGAAAGCCCCGGGCUCAACCUGGGAAGUGCAUUGGAAACUGGGAGACUUGAAUACGGGAGAGGGUAGUGGAAUUCCUAGUGUAGGAGUGAAAUCCGUAGAUAUUAGGAGGCACACCGGUGGCGAAGGCGGCUACCUGGACCGAUAUUGACGCUGAGACGCGAAAGCGUGGGGAGCAAACAGGAUUAGAAACCCCAGUAGUCC
rnacentral:rRNA from 1 species